GAUGAACGCUGGCGGCGUGCUUAACACAUGCAAGUCGAACGGAAAGGCCCAAGCUUGCUUGGGUGCUCGAGUGGCGAACGGGUGAGUAACACGUGGGUGAUCUGCCCUGCACUUUGGGAUAAGCCUGGGAAACUGGGUCUAAUACCGGAUAGGACCAUCGUUUAGUGUCGGUGGUGGAAAGAUUUUCGGUGUGGGAUGAGCUCGGGGCCUAUUAGCUUGUUGGUGGGGUAAUGGCCUACCAAGGCGUCUACGGGUAGCCGGCCUGCGAGGGUGUACGGCCACAUUGGGACUGAGGUACGGCCCAGACUCCUACGGGGGGCAACAGUGGGGAAUAUUGCACAAUGGGCGCAAGCCUGAUGCAGCGACGCCGCGUGGGGGAUGACGGCCUUCGGGUUGUAAACUCCUUUCGCCAAGGACGAAGCGUUUUGUGACGGUACUUGGAGAAGAAGCACCGGCUAACUACGUG
rnacentral:rRNA from 1 species